CGGGGGGCAGCAGUGGGGAAUAUUGGACAAUGGGCGCAAGCCUGAUCCAGCAAUGCCGCGUGAGUGAAGAAGGUCUUCGGAUUGUAAAGCUCUUUCGACGGGGACGAUGAUGACGGUACCCGUAGAAGAAGCCCCGGCUAACUUCGUGCCAGCAGCCGCGGUAAUACGAAGGGGGCUAGCGUUGCUCGGAAUGACUGGGCGUAAAGGGCGCGUAGGCGGUUCGUACAGUCGGAUGUGAAAUUCCCGGGCUCAACCUGGGGGCUGCAUUCGAUACGUACGGGCUUGAGUUCGGAAGAGGGUCGUGGAAUUCCCAGUGUAGAGGUGAAAUUCGUAGAUAUUGGGAAGAACACCGGUGGCGAAGGCGGCGACCUGGUCCGAUACUGACGCUGAGGCGCGAAAGCGUGGGGAGCAAACAGGAUUAGAUACCCCAGU
rnacentral:rRNA from 1 species